rnacentral:rRNA from 1 species
GAUGAACGCUGGCGGCGUGCCUAAUACAUGCAAGUCGAGCGAAUGACGAGGAGCUUGCUCCCCUGAUUUAGCGGCGGACGGGUGAGUAACACGUGGGUAACCUGCCUGUAAGACGGGGAUAACUCCGGGAAACCGGAGCUAAUACCGGAUGAUAACGAGAAGCGCCUGCUUCUUUUUUGAAAGUCGGUUUCGGCUGACGCUUACAGAUGGGCCCGCGGCGCAUUAGCUAGUUGGUGAGGUAACGGCUCACCAAGGCGACGAUGCGUAGCCGACCUGAGGGGGUGAUCGGCCACACUGGGACUGAGACACGGCCCAGACUCCUACGGGAGGCAGCGGUAGGGAAUCUUCGGCAAUGGACGAAAGUCUGACCGAGCAACGCCGCGUGAGCGAUGAAGGCCUUCGGGUCGUAAAGCUCUGUUGUCAGAGAAGAACAAGUACCGGAGUAACUGCCGGUACCUUGACGGUACCUGACCAGAAAGCCACGGCUAACUACGUGCCAGCCGCCGCCGUAAAAC